UCUCGAUGAUAACGGUGAGGAAGGAAUUGUUUUUUGAAAAUAACGAAUAAUGAGUAUUCGGUGAUAGGAAAUAUAACUUUAUUUAAAUUCAAUUUCAUUAUUAUGAAUUUAUUUAUAUCUACAAAUGAAAAAUCAAACUUUUUAAGUGUCUAUCAUCGAAAUAUAACAAUUAAUUAACUUUUCUGUGGUUGUAAAUAAAUGAAUACGAUAGAAAACUAUUAUUUUUCUAAAUUUUCAGUAUUACAAACUAGUAUCAAAUUAAAUAAAAUGGAGAGUUCUGACUUAGAAUUAUUGGAAUUCUUACCUAUGCCGCUGGAUCCUCGCUUUGCUGUGAAACAUAUUGUGGUAUAAUUGAGUUAAUGAUUUGUGCAAGGAAUUCUAUUAACCAAAUUUCGUCCAAUAAGUUUACGAAUUCAUAAGAAAAUACUAUCAUUUGAUAAUGAUUUAGAGGAUGAUAAUAUUAACAGGAUUCAAGAUAUGGUUGCCUUGUGUACAAGCCAAAUAAAAAAAAAUGUUCUGAAUUUGAUGGACAUAUUUAAAGUAGAACAUUGUCAACAGCUAUCCCUUCAGGAAAGUCGCCAAUUCACUAUUGAAAGGUUAACAUGGUGCAUGAAUAGACUGCUAUUAAUUGAACAACAGUUGUCAUCUAAUGUUACAACCAAUGAUGAGAAUAAUGAAUCUGUCUUCAUUAUACCAAUGCAUUUUGUUAAUUGGAUUGACUAUACAUUUGAAACACUUGCUAAGCUUUCCGAAACUAUUUACAGGACUGAUUAUAAAAAGACUGAAAACAUUUAUCAACAAUGGAAAGAUGAUGUGGUUGACUCUGUGACUGUGUUGUAUAAAUGUAUUGAUGAACUCUUACUUUCUGCUAUGACAUUAUGCAGACAUUGUAUUACUUCUGAUCAAUAUAUCGUAAAAGCAAGAUGUCAAGUGGUUCUAAGAGAAACAAAAGCAUUAUUUAGUGAGCUUGUGGAGGAAACACCCAGUGAAACAUUCAAAGUCACUCCAGACACAUUAAAAACACAAAUUAAACCUUCCAAUGUGAAUGUUCUUAUAGAUGUAUUGAAAGAUGUUUUAUAUGUGUUAGAAACAAACACAAAUACAGCAUUAUUGGCAUUGUUAGUGUAUUGCUUCAGUAAUAGCAAAACACCUGUAGAAAUAUUAAGAGAACAUUUCAAUAAAAAUACAAAAGGAGGUUGUUCUUGUACUCAUAGUUUGGGAAACGUUUCAGAUGAAUGUUCUGUUAUAAAGGAAUUUGAUUUGUACAAUGAGAGGCUUAUGCAAAUUGGAUUAUUUGCCAUCUCAUGCUCAUCUGAUCAAAACAGAAUUUUAAUUCUUCGUAGUGGUUUAGCAAGCUUAGAAGCUUUAGACCCACAUCUAGUUCCAGCUGUAAUGGUUUCUGCUAAUUCCAACCAUAGCAUUAUGUUGAUGAGAAUUUGGCAGCAAGAAGUACAGGAGAUAAGAGAUAAUGUCUUUUUGAUUGUGGAUCCUGCUGCAUUUACUGAGAAAUCAAAACAAAUAAUGCACCAAGUACUCUUAGAGUUAAUAAAGGCAAACUGUUACAUUAAUAGUAAAGUAUGCUCUAUUAUAAAUAUAGGUUGUACAUUACAUGAAUUCUUUUCUGUUUACAAUAAAUAUGAACCAAAUGCUUUGAUGCACCGUGAAGAGUUAUUGCCUCUGUUGGCAGAUCUGGAAAAAGUACAAAUGGAAUGUAAAAUCGUAAGCAAUAUUUUAAGUUCAGGCGACGAUUUUAUAUAUGAAAUUAAAAAAAGUAUACCCAAUAAAGAACUAUCUUUAGAGCAGCUGUUGAAGCGUUUAAAACUUCUAUACACUAUGGUCAAUAGAAUUAAUGAAUUACUUCAUCCAAAAGAGAAUGAGGAUCAGUUAUUCGCUGACGAUUUUUGUGAAUACGAUCCACCAAGAAAUAAAAAUGUUACUCACUCAAUACUGCCUAUUAAUACUAAUACAUAUGUCAAUUCUCCAAGAAAGCACAAUAAUUUAACUAGAAGUGUUUUUGCUAGAACUACAAAUGUGCGAUUAUCGAGAAAUAACUUUAUAUUAUCGAAGUUGACGAAACAUUUAAAAGAUAAAACAGGAUAUCGGCGCGAUGUAUUAAGCUACUCGGCAAGACUGGAUGAACUGUUAAAUGAAGAAAAUAAUUGUAAUGCAAAUAAUACCGAAAAAAAUAAAUUAUUAAGUAUUCGUGAACCGUCAGUACUAUUUAUGUCACCACUGAAGAGUAGAUCAUCACUACGAAGAGCAGUUUUAAACAGUCAUUACAAAUUGCAACAUUUAAAAAAAACAGAAAACAAAACAAGCUUAGAUAAAUCGGUUACAGAGAAAGAAAAUCUUUUUGAUGAAACAACAAGUCUACAGAUUACAGAUGUUUUGAAUGAAAUAAAUGAUUUAACGAAUGUUCUGUCAACAACUAAAGACAUAUGUAAGAAGAGAGCUACGAGUAAUAUUGAAUAUAACAAUGAGAAAAGUAUCCUAACUUUAAAAGUAAAUGAACAAAAUACGGCUACUUCUAAAUAUAUAUGGAAUAUUCCGGUAAAUAGUAAUAUUGAGGAAAGAUCAUUAGACGAGAAUGAAAUGAUUUCAAACGUAUCAAAUUUGACACAACCUUCAGAUGUUACUACUCCAGAGAGAAUAAGCGACUUGGAUCUUGUUGAAAGUAAACUAAAUAGCUUAAAAUAUAGUUUCGGAUAUUGUUUCAACAGAAAAUAUCAACGAUAACAUUAGCUUUAAUAGAACAUCCAAAACAGACAACGAAGAAAGGAUACCAACAGGUUUAGUAAGAUUGAUUGUAACCACAAUGGAGAAGUCUUUAAACAAAACAGAGGACAGUGAAGCGCGAGCUAUUUAUUGGUAUCCCACCCCUUGCAGUUUCAGGGCUGAGGGAGGGUAUACCUGCUACAGUUGCAGAGAAUCUCUUCACUGCUUGCCAGGUAAUGCUGGCCUCUUGGCCUUCUGCUAUGGUCGUAGACCAUACUGUAGUAAUGGAGUGUGUUCUGAAGUUAGCGGGGAAAAGUGCCAAGACACCCACAUAGCGAAUACUACUAUCGAGGCUUAUGAUGACGUGGUUACACAGCCAACAAAAGUAGAUGCAGUAGCAUAAAUGCUGACUUAUAUGUAUCAAAAUA